UACGAAGGGGGGCUAGCGUUGUUCGGAAUUACUGGGCGUAAAGCGCGCGCAGGCGGCUAUCCAAGUCAGUGGUGAAAGCCCGGAGCUCAACUCCGGAACUGCCAUUGAAACUGUUUAGCUUGAGGAUGAGAGAGGUGAGUGGAAUUCCCAGUGUAGAGGUGAAAAUUCGUAGAUAUUGGGAAGAACACCGGUGGCGAAGGCGGCUCACUGGCUCAUUACUGACGCUCAGGCGCGAUAGCGUGGGGAUCAAACAGG
rnacentral:rRNA from 1 species